AGCGAACGCUGGCGGCAGGCUUAACACAUGCAAGUCGAGCGGGCACUUUCGGGUGUCAGCGGCGGACGGGUGAGGAACGCGGGGGAACGUGCCCUCUGGUUCGGAAUAACUCAGGGAAACUUGAGCUAAUACCGGAUACGCCCGUUUGGGGAAAGGCUUGCUGCCGGAGGAUCGGCCCGCGUCUGAUUAGCUAGUUGGUGAGGUGACGGCUCACCAAGGCGACGAUCAGUAGCUGGUCUGAGAGGAUGAUCCGACACACUGGGACUGAGACACGGCCCAGACUCCUACGGGAGGCAGCAGUGGGGAAUAUUGGACAAUGGGCGCAAGCCUGAUCCAGCCAUGCCGCGUGAGUGAUGAAGGCCUUAGGGUUGUAAAGCUCUUUUAUCCGGGACGAUAAUGACGUUACCGGAGGAAUAAGCCCCGGCUAACUUCGUG
rnacentral:rRNA from 1 species